rnacentral:pre_miRNA from 1 species
AAGUUGAGCACAAAGAUACGCGUAAUGUUUUUUUCUGUCCUUCUUGUUGUUCAAAGUUUUCAUUUUUUCUUUAUAUUAAGAUAAAGAAAUGUGAUCACUUUGCGCACUGAGCAAGGACAGGGUAAACAAUUAUGCUAUAGUAGUUUAAUUU